rnacentral:rRNA from 1 species
UACGAAGGGGGCUAGCGUUGCUCGGAAUCACUGGGCGUAAAGCGCACGUAGGCGGCUUUUUAAGUCAGGGGUGAAAUCCUGGAGCUCAACUCCAGAACUGCCUUUGAUACUGGGAAUCUCGAGUCCGGGAGAGGUGAGUGGAACUGCGAGUGUAGAGGUGAAAUUCGUAGAUAUUCGCAAGAACACCAGUGGCGAAGGCGGCUCACUGGCCCGUAACUGACGCUGAGGCACGGAAAGCGUGGGGGAGCAAACAGG